rnacentral:rRNA from 1 species
AGAGUUUGAUUCUGGCUCAGAACGAACGCUGGCAGCGUGGAUUAGGCAUGCAAGUCGAACGAGAAGCCGUGGUCUCAAUCUUCGGAGAGAAACUGCGGUGGACAGUGGCGGAAGGGUGAGUAACGCGUGGGCAAUCUGCCCCCUGGUUGGGGACAACCUCGGGAAACCGGGGCUAAUACCGAAUAUGGUCUCCUGUCGCAUGGCAGGAUGAUUAAAGAUGGGGAUCCUUCGGGACCUGUCGCCUGGGGAGGAACCCGCGUACGAUCAGCUUGUUGGUGAGGUAACGGCUCACCAAGGCGACGACCGUUAGCCGGCCUGAGAGGGUGAUCGGCCACACUGGGACUGAGACACUGCCCAGACUCCUACGGGAGGCUGCAGUCGAGGAUCAUUCGCAAUGCGCGAAAGCGUGACGAUGCGACGCUGCGUGGAGGAUGACGGCCUUCGGGUUGUAAACUCCUGUCAUGAGGGAAGAACGAUACGGUUGUUAAUAGCGGCCGUAUGUGACGGUACCUCAAGAGGAAGCCACGGCUAACUCUGUGCCAGCAGCCGCGGUAAUACAGAGGUGGCUAGCGUUGUUCGGAUUUACUGGGCGUAAAGGGUACGUAGGCGGUUCCGUGUGUCGGGUGUGAAAUCCCACGGCUUACCCGUGGAACUGCACCCGAAACUGCGGGGCUAGAGUGCAGGAGGGGAGAGCGGAAUUCUUAGUGUAGCGGUGAAAUGCGUUGAUAUUAAGAAGAACACCGGUGGCGAAGGCGGCUCUCUGGAAUGUUACUGACGCUGAAGUACGAAAGUCGGGGGAGCAAACAGGAUUAGAUACCCUGGUAGUCCCGACCGUAAACGGUGUGAACUUGGUGUAGGGGGUAUUGACCCCCCCCCUGUGCCGGAGCUAACGCGUUAAGUUCACCGCCUGGGGAGUACGGCCGCAAGGCUAAAACUCAAAGAAAUUGACGGGGGCCCGCACAAGCGGAGGGGCAUGUGGCUUAAUUCGAUGCAACGCGAAGAACCUUACCUGGGCUUGACAUGGCGACCCUUCGGGGGUGGGGGUGAAAGCUCCCUUUACGAUCACAGGUGCUGCAUGGCUGUCGUCAGUUCGUGCCGUGAGGUGUUGGGUUAAGUCCCGCAACGAACGCAACCCUUGUGGCUAGUUGCCAUCGUAGGUGAUGAGCCUACGGGCACUCUAGUCAGACUGCCCGUACAAGCGGGAGGAAGGUGGGGAUGACGUCAAGUCAGUAUGGCCCUUACGCCCAGGGCUGCACACGUGCUACAAUGGUCGGUACAGAGGGAAGCAAUGCCGCGAGGUGGAGCUAAUCCCGAAAGCUGGCCUCAGUUCGGAUUGGAGUCUGCAACUCGACUCCAUGAAGUUGGAUUCGCUAGUAACGGCGUAUCAGCUACGACGCCGUGAAUACGUUCCCGGGCCUUGUACACACCGCCCGUCACAUCAUGAAAGCCGUCUGCACCCGAAGUCGCUGAGCUAACCCGCAAGGGGGGCAAGUGCCGAAGGUGUGGGUGGUGAUUGGGAUGAAGUCGAACAAGGUA